GCACUCUCUUCAACCUGUAGCAAUGUUGGUGAGAUAUUUAGGAUAGCAGCAGUCAUGAAUGGGCUUGUACUUGUUGGAGUUGCUGUCGGGUUCGUUCUUCUUCGAAUCGAGGCUUUUGUGGAGGAGACUGAAUGAGAAAUUUUAGCUACCUUGGUGUGUCUUGGUUGGUUGUUCUUUAUUAAGGAUGUACCUUAAUUUCUUUGUUAUUUAUUUAUGCAGUGCUGGGUUUUUUUGGAUGUAUGAACCAAACCAGCACAUUAAGUUUCAAC
rnacentral:lncRNA from 1 species